AUUGAACGCUGGCGGCAUGCCUUACACAUGCAAGUCGAACGGUAACGGGCCUUCGGGUGCCGACGAGUGGCGAACGGGUGAGUAAUGCAUCGGAACGUACCUUUCAGUGGGGGAUAACGUAGCGAAAGUUACGCUAAUACCGCAUAUUCUGUGAGCAGGAAAGCAGGGGAUCGCAAGACCUUGCGCUGAUUGAGCGGCCGAUGUCAGAUUAGCUAGUUGGUGAGGUAAAGGCUCACCAAGGCGACGAUCCGUAGCGGGUCUGAGAGGAUGAUCCGCCACACUGGAACUGAGACACGGUCCAGACUCCUACGGGAGGCAGCAGUGGGGAAUUUUGGACAAUGGGCGCAAGCCUGAUCCAGCCAUGCCGCGUGAGUGAAGAAGGCCU
rnacentral:rRNA from 1 species